rnacentral:misc_RNA from 1 species
UUCACUAUCUGAUAAGUAUGCCUGCAGAAUCAAUAGAGUGCUUCAGCAAGAUUGGCCCAGCAAGGUUCAAUGUAAGCCUAACUCCCAACAUGAAUAUACUUGGCCAAACGAGCAACAAAAGAAUAUAUGUGUGGACAAAUGUGAUAAGGAGUCGUCUAAAGAGAACCAAUGGAACCAAAUGCAUCAAUACAAGAGAAGCAAGUGAUUUAGCUGCAGGCGAAAGGCUGUGGUUACUUACUGGUACAAGGAACCAAGAAAAAAAACUCCAUAACUACUCACUAGAGAAAAUUCACCACUUCAAGGAUGCUGGGGGGACGGGUGCAGGCACAAACCUCUCUGCGUUUGUAAUCUAUCC